rnacentral:rRNA from 1 species
GACGAACGCUGGCGGCGUGGAUUAGGCAUGCAAGUCGAACGGUAGGAUCCUUUCGGGGAUCUGAGAGUGGCGAACGGGUGAGUAACACGUAGGUGAUCUACCCUCAAGACGGGGACAACCCAGGGAAACUUGGGCUAAUACCGGAUGUGAGCUAUCGCGAGAUAGUUUGAAAGGUGGCUUCGGCUGCCGCUUGAGGAUGAGCCUGCGUCCUAUUAGCUAGUUGGUGAGGUAACGGCUCACCGAGGCAGUGAUAGGUAGGCGGCCUUAACGGGUGGUCGCCCACACUGGGAUUGAGAUACGGCCCAGACUCCUACGGGAGGCAGCAGUCGAGAAUAGUCUACAAUGGUCGGAAGACUGAUAGUGCGACGCCGCGUGAACGAUGAAUCCCUUCGGGGUUAAAGUUCUUUUAUAUGUGAGCAGUGCUUUCUAUGUGAACAGCAUGGGGAAGAGAUAUUAGCAUAUGAAUAAGCAAACGGCUAAACUCCGU